CAAUAGCGUAUAUUAAAGUUGUUGCAGUUAAAAAGCUCGUAGUUGGAUUUGUGGCGGUUGUUGCGGUCCAUUUUUGGUACUGCGGCGACUGCCAUCCUUGAGUGGAACCUGUGUGGCAUUAGGUUGUCGUGCAGGGGAUGCUCAUCGUUUACUGUGAAAAAUUAGCGCGUUCAAAGCAAGCUUAUGCUGUUGAAUAGAUUAGCAUGGAAUAAUGAGAUAGGACCUUGGUACUAUUUUGUUGGUUUGCGCACCGAGGUAAUGAUUAACAGGGACAGUUGGGGGUAUUCGUAUUCCAUUGUCAGAGGUGAAAUUCUUGGAUUUCUGGAAGACGAACUACUGCGAAAGCAUUUACCAAGGAUGUUUUCAUUAAUCAAGAACGAAAGUUAGGGGAUCGAAGACGAUUAGAUACCAU
rnacentral:rRNA from 1 species